AGCGUAUAUUAAAGUUGUUGCAGUUAAAAAGCUCGUAGUUGGAUCUCGGGCGCCGGCGGGCGGUUCGCCUCGCGGCGGUUACUGCCCGCUCCGGCCCUACUCUGGCGGUUCACUGCGGUCGUGCUCUUCACUGAGUGCCUGCGGUGUCCGGCACAUUUACUUUGAAAAAAUUAGAGUGCUCAAGGCAGGCGGAACGCCUGAAUGAUGCUGCAUGGAAUAAUGGAAUAGGACCUCGGUUCUAUUUUGUUGGUUUUCGGAACUUGAGGUAAUGAUUAAGAGGGACUGCCGGGGGCAUUCGUAUUACGGUGUUAGAGGUGAAAUUCUUGGAUCGCCGUAAGACGAACAACUGCGAAAGCAUUUGCCAAGAAUGUUUUCAUUAAUCAAGAACGAAAGUCAGAGGUUCGAAGACGAUCAGAUACCGUCGUAGUUCUGACCAUAAACGAUGCCAACUAGCGAUCGGAGGGAGUUG
rnacentral:rRNA from 2 species